AGUGAACGCUGGCGGUAGGCCUAACACAUGCAAGUCGAACGGCAGCACAGUAAGAGCUUGCUCUUACGGGUGGCGAGUGGCGGACGGGUGAGGAAUACAUCGGAAUCUACUUUUUCGUGGGGGAUAACGUAGGGAAACUUACGCUAAUACCGCAUACGACCUACGGGUGAAAGCAGGGGAUCUUCGGACCUUGCGCGAUUGAAUGAGCCGAUGUCGGAUUAGCUAGUUGGCGGGGUAAAGGCCCACCAAGGCGACGAUCCGUAGCUGGUCUGAGAGGAUGAUCAGCCACACUGGAACUGAGACACGGUCCAGACUCCUACGGGAGGCAGCAGUGGGGAAUAUUGGACAAUGGGCGCAAGCCUGAUCCAGCCAUACCGCGUGGGUGGAGAAGGCCUUCGGGUUGUAAAGCCCUUUUGUUGGGAAAGAAAAGCAGCAGGUUAAUACCCCGCUGUUCUGACGGUACCCAAAGAAUAGGCACCGGCUAACUUCGUG
rnacentral:rRNA from 1 species